CCAGAAGGCAGAAGGCGCUGGACCUCAUUAUCCAGGCUGAACAAUGGGGGUGGAGGCGCUCCUUCAGGUAUACUGGGCCGAGGCUGUUUAGGGCUUUAAAGGUCAGCACCAACACUUUGAAUUGUGCUCGGAAACGUACUGGGAACCAAUGCAGAUCUCUCAGGACCAGUGUUAUGUGGUCCCGGCGGCCACUCCCAGUUCCCAGUCUAGCUGCCGCAAUGAUUCCCAAAUCAUUGCAAUAUAAAACAGCUGGGCAGCAGUCCUUCCAUUGGAAGCAGUCAGAAGCCCCUUGGAACAAAGAGGGUCUCCCACCUGCUCUGGGAAGGACAAGGAGAGAGAGAGAUCCGGUCUAGCUUCUCCAGAGAAGGGAGUUCCAGAGUCUGGGAGCAGCCACUGGGAAGGCCCCUUCCUGGGUGCCUGAGAAGGUGGCAGGACCAAGAGAAGGGACUCCCAGCGUAGCAGCAUCCAUCCUCAAGGAGGAGAUGGCGGCACCUCCAGUCCUCCGCUGCCGAAAUAUUCUCACCCUUUUUGACAGGGUUCCUGGUCAGGGAUACAGUGAUACAGGCUUUCCCCAGGAAAAUCUUCCGCUUUCACAUUCUUGCCUCCAGCCUAUGGUUAAAUGCACCAAAACCCUGCCGUAGGAAAAGGUUAAAACCCUAUGUAUCGUAUCGAUUGCUGAUAAGAAAUCUCCAAUGUUAUAUAUGCAAUUGGGGCAGGUCAAAGACAUUUUUACCUAAUCCAAAUAACAGCCUCCUCUUCAACUAAUUAAUAAGAGACGCUAUCUACUCCAAAGUUCCUCAACACAACUGUCGUCAAAAUGAUCAGUAAUGCCCUUUUGCAGUUUCCAUGCAUCUUGGUAGACCAAGGUAACCUUCCAGUGGCUUGUGCCUUUGAGUCAGCUCUGUCUGUAUCGCACCACAGCUCUUAGUGAUGCCAAAAAUCCUAAGCCCCUUCCACAUUACUUCAUGGUAAGGCUAGGGCUACCAUCUGCACCUUUUUAGCUGAACCAUUCCUAUUGAGUCUAUAGAGUGUCUGGCAAUUUCACUAUCAUAUUGUUACAGGAUUGAAGGGCUUGGUUGCUUGGAAUGAAAUCUGUGGAUCCCUUCCAAGCCAGUGGUUUUGUAUUUUAUCUGUAAGAUGGGAGUCUAUAGCAGAAGGAACUGCUGAAACAGUCAAGCCAGUCUCUUUGUUAACUCAGUGGUCCAGCCUGUUAAGCAUCCUUUUAAUAUGUCUAAAGAGCUGGUUAAAUACAGCUAGAUUCUCAUAGAAACAGCUAGCUAGUGAUGCUUCCCAAAGAAGGGGGCAGUCCUUACCCCCUCACCUGGCUGGAUGACAAGUCCUUGGAGUAGGAGAAUAAUAGGCCAGUGGCUAGCCUUUGGCCAAUCUCACCCAUCCAGCUGUGAAGACACAGGUGCUUGGCAUGUUCUCUUCUGCAACCAGAACUGUGGCUUUGCAUUAGAGGUAGGUUGGUCUGCUGUAGUUGAAACAAAAUAAAAAAAUUCCUUCCAGUAGCACCUUAGAGACCAACUAAGUUAAUUAUUAGUAUGAGUUUUUGUGUGCAUGCACACUUCUUCAGAUAGUAUCUCAUACCAAUAACUAAGUUAGUUGGUCUCUAACUAAGGAAUUUUUUUUAUUUUGUUGUGGCUUUGCAUGGCCUUGGAAGGAGGCCUUCCUGGGGGAGCAAGAGCUUUGUGAGGCCUCCCUGGGAGAUCUGGAUCUGUUGCAAGUGUUAAUGCUAUGAGCUCUUCCAUCUUGUGCUCAAGUUGUAUAAGGAGCUAUGUGUUGAAAUGCCCAUGUUAUAGUUGAAUAAGUUAGUUAUAGUUAUAACCUGUUAUAGUUAAAUAAACCCCCCUAAUUUUGUAAAACAAAAAAGCAAAUUGCUGCAUUCUGAACUUUUAAUUUUUUCAGGACACAGUAACAUAGGAGAAGACCACCAUCAUGUGAAUAUUAAGGGAGACAGGCACCUCUUUCACUACAAUGUCACAUUUUUUGCUGUUGACAGAAUGGGCUCGUCCACACUUCCGCUUGUGCCUGUGCCUAGAAAGCACAGGCCCGAGUGGUCUUCCCCUUGCCCUGCUCCUUUCCAAGGGAAAACCCACUCUUUACCUAUAGAUUGGAACAAAUGGCAAUCCAGGGGGAACCCGAAUUGCCGUUUGUUCCAACUGAGCGCUAAAAAGCUGUUUUCCUUGGGGGAAAGCUGUGGGACAAGGUGAAGUGUGGAGAAGCCCAAUGUCCUAAUAUCUCCUGGAGUAAUCUAUGUGCCCUGGUGGACUCAAGGACACUGAUUUUCAUUCAAUCCCAGUAAAUCUUGGAGAAGAUGGCAAAGCUUUGGUCUCCCCACCCACCCUGGAGGGAAUACAGAGCCAGCCCUUCCAUAGGCAGAGUAAGGCAACUGCCUCAGGCAGCUGAUACUACAGGGAAGUUGAGGUAAUUUUAAUCCGUUUUAUUAUUUUAAAUUGCUUAUAUCUUAAAGUAGAGUUGUAUUUCCCCCCCUUGACGCUACUGUUUUAUGUUUUGUAAACUGCAUUGAGAGGUGUUUUUUUGCAGUCAACGGGUGCAUAAGUUUGACAAAAUUAAAAAUAAAUAAAGAAGAUUGGUGGCAGG